UACGGAGGAUCCGAGCGUUAUCCGGAUUUAUUGGGUUUAAAGGGUGCGUAGGCGGGAAUGUAAGUCAGUGGUGAAAUCCUGCAGCUUAACUGUAGAAUAACCGUUGAAACUGUGUUUCUUGAGUACAUUUGAGGUAGGCGGAAUGUGGUGUGUAGCGGUGAAAUGCAUAGAUAUACCACAGAACACCGAUUGCGAAGGCAGCUUACUAAACUGUCACUGACGCUGAUGCACGAAAGCGUGGGUAUCAAACAGGAUUAGAUA
rnacentral:rRNA from 1 species